AGAUAUUUGUUCCAUUCAGACUGCAUAGUCCAUGAGUUUCUGGAAACCUUCAGCUUCUAGAAAUGAAGACAUCUAACAUUUCAGAGCUAGCCCCUCAAAACUCCCAGAAGCGGCUAAGACUGAAGGGACAAUUAGCUGGUGGGCCGGAGCCUGCCUCAGUGAACACCAGCAACAAACUUCUGUUUGUGAGAGAGACAAGCUUUUGAGGCUGAAGAAGGUGAGACGGGACAGAGAAAACCUGAGGCCAUGAUCUUUAAUGAGCCACAGAGCUGACCGUGCAGGAGGAGGAGCAGGCUGUGCCAUCUCAAGGAAUCGUGUGCCCUGUGCACGCCCUCUGCAUGCCAGGGACAUGGAGGAGAGAUAGUGCUACUUGAAAUGCAGUCUCUGCCGUCUCACCUGGAUUGAUGCUGCUCUGACCUUGUUAUAUUUAACAGCUUCUUCUUGUCUUCUGCGCUCAAAAGAGCACACACCCGGCUGCCAUUAACAAAGCUAGCAAGUGAAACAAUACUUCAGGUGACCCCCACACACACACCAGUUUUCCCUCCUCACUUAUUAAUAUUGUUAAUUAGCAUGGAGGUAGUCACUACAUGCCCCAGUCAAUUUCAUGUCUCCAUUGUGCUAGGCACUGCAAAGACUUAAGAGGGGAAAGUCCUGGUUCCAAAGAGCCUAGAGAUUGUUUUUACUGGCCUGAGCCCCGUAACAUUAGAACAUAUAUGCUACGUGUCACACUGUACUGGGCUUGGCUGGUAGCAUCUUCAGUUAAAUACAUUCAGAUUUAAAUCUGACACCAGCAGCCAACAAUUGUUAAAUUUUGCUACUCUGUCUAUGACCAAGAGCAGUAGCAGGAUUGAAUUGAUUAAAGUGCAAGGUCUCAAGCAUGCUCCUUGUGAGUUAGCGAGCCCAUCUGAUGUGUGUGUUUUCCUGACCCUCACCAACGCUGCUCUCCCCUACUUCCUAUACAUCUAGGCUCAGAUCCUUCCCUUCCUGUGUAAAAAGACAUGCAAGGGAAGAACAUAUGUGAAAAUAGUUCACAGAUUCUGGACUUUCAGGGGUCUUUUCAUCACUGUCCCCUCUGGAAACUAGGGCUUGAGUGAUAAGGUUCUAGGAGAAGAAACAGUGUAAAAUAAACAGAAUCUAGGAUCCACAGGAUUAACAGAGGACAAACCCCAAAUGCCUGGCUUUCUAUGUAUAUGGACUCUGGCUUACACUCCAGUACCAGUGGCUCAUGGCUAAGAACACAGGCAUCACAUACUGGCUCUGACCAAUAGUCCAUCUAGUGUAGGCUUCCAUCUUAUGUCCCAGAGGAAGGUGUGAGAAAUCCCAGGAGGCCACAUUUUCAAAAGAGCUCAGCAUGUUGGAUAUUGAGCUCUUUUUGAAAAUCUGGCUGUGACAGUUUGGGGAAUAUCUCUGUCUCUGUCAACUCAUGAAAUCUUUUUUGUAUGUGAAAUAUGAUUUAUGGUUGUAACACUCACUGUGAAUUUACUCAGCCAUCUGGCACAUAGUGAACAGAACAGACGAUACCUGGGGAGCUGGCCAUCAACGACCAUCAACAAUUGAAUAGCUCUACCCUAGUAGAACAAUUGAAUUUCUGUCCGCAGAAGCAGUGACUUGUAAGGGCUCUCUGCCAGCAGUCCCACACUGGUGCAUGAAAAAUCCCAGCAUAAAGGAGCAACAGUCAAGGUGUCUCAGACUGCUUUUAAAAAGAGACGUGCUCUCUGAGUAAGGUCAGCCAUCCCAAUCCAGAAACACAAGAGCUAGCUAGAGGGUUGGGUGGGAGGAGAGAAGGGAGCUUUGCCUUACCAAAGAGACACUGACCACGACCCAGGGACUCUCAGGAGCUGGGAGGACUGAGGAUUUGCAUUCAGGUUCUAUUGUCUUGCCUAGAUCUGUAACUUUCUUGUGCUGUCUAAAAGUGAAGUAUGUGUUUGUUUAAGAACUCCCUGUGCAAAGCCCGUGUUCCCUGCUUUACCUGCUGUGCAUCUCUGAAGAGUUAAACUAUAACCCAUAGUGCCUACAAGGGUGGAGCUCUGGGGGAGCGUGCCUGAGCAACUGGUGAGGCUUGGGAGAUUCACCACUGGUCUUGGGGCUUAAGACAAUUGGACUGCAGAGUGUUGUGUCCCAAGGAAGGAUUUCAGACAGAGAGAUGGCACUCGGGAGUAUGCUCUAGAGACCUAGAGCCAGAGAUAGUGCUUGAACUCUGCCCAGACCCAGUUGGCUUGGAUGCACAUAUGAUCCAACGGUUGGUAUGAUUAUGAGUCUGGUGACCAUCCAUCAUGGGGCUCUGCCAGGGCUGUUGUGCUGGCCCUAGCUGUCCCAGUGGGACUGCUGAGCUCAUAUGAAAAUCUGUCUCCAUUUGUGGAAGUUUUUUAAAGGACUUAAGUGAAUUAGGUUUCUAUGUCCCGCUGCCUUUCAAUGGGAUUUAGACACUUCUGAAAAUUCUAUACACUGAGCUCUUGACUAUCUGGCUCUGAGCUCUCCUGACAGUCUGGCCCAUUGUGGCCAUUCAUGGAAUAAGGAGGGGUUUGUUCCUUAUAGCUGUCUAUUAGUGGUUGGCUUUAUGACCCUUUUUAAAAAAAAGUCCUGUAUGUGACUUUGGCUAGUCUCAUUAUCCAAUGGAGAGACACUGUAAUGCAGUUGAUAGGAACAGGGUUAGGACGCAGGAGACCCAGAUUCUAUUCCCAGCUC